UACGUAGGGUGCAAGCGUUUGUCCGGAAUUAUUGGGCGUAAAGAGCUCGUAGGCGGUUUGUCGCGUCUGCCGUGAAAGUCCGGGGCUCAACUCCGGAUCUGCGGUGGGUACGGGCAGACUAGAGUGAUGUAGGGGAGACUGGAAUUCCUGGUGUAGCGGUGGAAUGCGCAGAUAUCAGGAGGAACACCGAUGGCGAAGGCAGUUCUCUGGGCCGUUACUGACGCUGAGGAGCGAAAGCGUGGGGAGCGAACAGG
rnacentral:rRNA from 1 species